ACAAACCAACCUUGGCGGCUGCAUGGGCUCUCCGCGACUCUGGGAGUCCUGCAGGAACCCGGAGGACAGCGAACAGGAGCGAGAGGAAACAGACUCCUAAAAAAUCUCCCCCUUAAAAAAAAAAACUCGUCCUGUGUGUCACUGUAAUCCGAAAUCAAACGCACUCAGUAGCUUUCUGAGUGUUAAAUCCGCCAAUCUGUGCAUGAUGUCCACCGAUCUGCUUCUCGGUGAAAUGAAAGUGUUUUUUUUCUUUCUUUCUUUUUAGUUGGGAUUCAUCUAAACAGCCACUUCUCGCACCCGGGGGGACUCAGAUCUCUGCAGCCGUUGCUUAACUCAUUUGACUAUCGGUCGAUCGGAAAGGAGACAUUAUGAUAGAUUAAGUCCAGUAAUUGCCCUCAUCCGCGCGUGGAAUCCAAAUUGUUAGUUAUGAACGACGUCGGGGAGAAAAAAGCCCUGAGGGCAAAGCUGCUGCUGCUGCUGCUGCUGCUGCUGCUGCUGCGUACGGCCCGAUCCGCUGUCUGGAUGUUGUGAAAUGGCUAGUUAGAAAGUGUGAGAGAGACAAUGAUCGGCUCUGCAUGACGCCGCUGGGAGCCCCAAAUCUCAGCUGUGAAACCCCCCUUUUUCCGAAUAGUUGUUCUCUCUUUGGAAGAGUCCCCAGACUGGAGUUAAAAACAAAUAUGGGCUAUCUGUUCUGCAGGAUUUGGAUAGAAGUUUCUGCACCUUUGACAACCCAAAUAAAGCUGAAUUGAACUUG